UUACCUGUUGUUCAUGAUGAUUCUGCAGAUAUGACAGCAGGUUUAAGGCAAAGGAGAAAGUCAGAAGAUAAUGAAAAUAUAAAUUUGGAGGCUGCUCUUAGGAAAUACAGAUUAAAUUUAAAAUCUUCAAAAGGACACAAAACAGAUGAUGUAUCAUCAAAGAGUAAGUGUGGUAUUUAUUCUAUUCUCUUUGAAGUAGAGAUAACAGCUGAAUCAACUUAAGGACCGAAUAUGUACCUUUUUAUUGACACAUUUAAAUGUUUAUCUCUGUGUCCUUUUCUCCCUUUUUCCUUAUUAUCCUGUUGUACCUAUUCCUUUAACCAUAUCACAGAAUUCUGAGGUGCCUCUUGCACUGGACAUUGCUGUUAUAAAAAAUGUAAACAAAACAUAUUCAGAUUUGACAACAACAUGUGUAUAAAUGGAGAGGUUAAUGGCAGAGUUAGGUUAUACAGGAUGUUUAAUGUUUAGAGCAGGCUUCCUCAAACUCUGGCCCUCCAGAUGUUGCUGAACUACAACUCCCAUGAUUCUAUGAAUAAAAUAGAUAGGCUGAGAAUCAUGGGAGUUGCAGUUCACCUACAGCUGAUGGGCCAGAGUUUGGGGAAGCCUGGUUUAGAGGAUUAGAAGCUUGAGUGGGGUUACAGUUGUGGUAUAAAGGGUGUUUAGUAUUAUUGGGUUUAUGGUUGAAGUGAGGUUAAAUUUAGUGUUGGUGUACAUGGUGUGUUCAGUUUUUAAGAGAAAUUAAACCAAGGAUUAAGGUGAAGAGCUUUGUUUCAUGUUUAGAAUUUGAGGGCUUAAAGGAACAUUAAGGUCACCAAAACUGCUUGUGUGUAUAGAUCAUGACUCUGAAAUUGCACUGCUCAAUUCACUGCCAUUUAGGAGUUAAAUCGAUUUUGUUUCUGUUUUUGCUGCCCUAGCCACACCACACCUGACUGUGACUGACAGCCUGCAUGAAAACAAAAUGGUUUAAUUUUCAAUCAGAUGUAACCGACUUUACAAGUUUUCAUGUCCUGCUCUGUAUACUGAACUUUAAUUACAUACAGGAGGCUCAUGCAGGGUCUAGCAAGCUAUUAACAGAUCAGGAGAUAAAAAAGUCUACAUUGAACAAAAUUUGCAAUAAAAGAAAUGUAAACAUUAGAUGAAUCAUUACAUGAAGUGUUUAGGAAGGCUGUGCAAGUCACAUGCAGAUAGGUAUGCCUAGGGCUGCAUGGACAAGGUGAUUUUAGUCUUUAAUGGCAGAGAAUUGAGCAGUGAGAGCGGUUAAAUUUAGGUAUAGGGUGUUUAGGGUAUAGACAUGUGGAAUUUGAAGGGAUAUAUGAGAAGGGGAAAUAAAGAUUAAAGCACAAUUUCCACUGCAGCUGGGUGUAUUCCUGAGCUGGUUGUAUUACUGAUGUGACUGCUAGGGGGGGAAAGUGUAAAAAAACAGUAGAACCCUAGGGUAAGAUCUCCCCCGGAGAGCACGCAGUGGAAAGGUGAGCCAGUGGUGGUUAUUGCUCAUCUCCAUGCGGCAAGUGGGGAUUAAGUGCCUCUACUUGCUUAACCUAUGCCUAUUGAUGGCGGACUGACACCCCUGGGGAUCAUAAUACCACCUCUCUGCAGGUGAGCGCCGUACCAGUCCCAAGCUCUUGUGUGCUCUUGUUCAGCGCUGGCUGAAAGGCCAUCUAGUCCAGUUGCUGGGACUUGGUCUCUGGGCCUUCUCUGUGCUCCGAAUCUGUGUUGCCAUGUGUGUGUUCUCCGGCGGAGGGGUCCGCGAGUAUGUAGUCGGCUCCCAUCUGAGCGUCGUGCAUAGAAGCUGCGGCAAGGUUGUAAGGUGAGUGGUCGGUGUUGGCAUGCUGCUUUUCGGUUCGGUGUCGGGAGAGUCCGCCGGCGGGCCCGUCGGCAAGAUGGGCGCAACUCCGCGUGGGCACUGGAUCGGUGAAUUGCCGCUUCAGCCUCCUUCACCUUCAUAGCAGGUAGGUCAGAAUGGGUGGCUUUAUGCUCCAUGCGCUUCCAGAAUUCCUGGCAGAUUCGAUCAAAGCGGGCUUCAAAGUGCUCUCUCCAGGUCUGGAUCUCAGGGCUUGCUUGAGACUGCAGAGAUUGCUGCUCGGCGGCCAUUUUGGGCCCGAGCCGCGGUCUCCCCUCCAGCAGAUCAGUCCCUUGUGGUGAGUUUGUGGGAUUCCCCAGUGGGGACCGGGAUAACCCCCACCGGUCCAGAGGGGGGGGAUGCGGGAUGCCAGGUGAGCUGCUGCUUGUAGCGGUCCCCAGGGCGGGGGAUCGGCCGCCUCUCCCAACCAUGAGGCUGCUGUCCUUGCUAGGCCGCAUUUGUGGAGUGUGGUAUUUCUAGAAAAAAGUUCACAAAACAGAUGUCCACGAGCCUCCACGCAGUCUAGUGAUGAUUUUUUGUUGAGCAGGACUGCUAAAUUCAAGGUUUUGGCCAGUAAUAGCCAAUUUAAAUCUCGUUUGUGUCAGAGCUCUCUGCAUGCACGUCCAGCUAGCUCUGCUGUCAGGCCCCGCCCCCUUUGUACCCUCACCUUUAUGACAAAAAAUAUUGGGGCUCUGUAAUUGUUUGAGUAACCUUUCUGAAAUCAGUAUAAACCGAAUAAAUUGCAAUAUGUUUCAAAAAAAUAAAUUACAAAAUAAAAAAAACAUGUUUUUCCUUUAAAAAUCAUCACAUUUGGGGGUGAAGCCAAGCAUCCGAUCUGAACGGUCACAUCUCCACUGAGCUCCGUGAAACUAGGCCUGAAUUGCGUGAAAAACCUAACAAAAACCCACAUAACUCAACACCGCUGGGACCCCCGACCAACCCACACUGAAAUGGGACGCAAAACUAAAAAACAGAAGGCUGACAAACCAAAUCUGGGCAUGAAUAUUGGAGAUUUGUGGUGGCAGGCGCAUGGCUCUUCACAAGCCAAGAUGACGUCCUACCCCGACGAAAGCUCCGACUUCUCGGACGAUCUCACCCUGGGGUCCCAGGAACUCCUCAUGCCUAACCUGCAAAGGCCAAUAGAGACACUGGCACCAACCUCGUCCAAAAGGACUUGUCACCGGUAACCAGAGCCGACAUGCAAGAGUUACUGGCGGGCCUCAGACGGGACAUUUAUUCGGACGUUACUGCACUCUGCACCGUUCUCCAGGGCCCAACAGGCCGCGUGGGGGCUCUGGAAAUAGACUCCCAGAACACCAAAUGGCAAAUAACUCACCUGCAAACGGAGCUGCGGUCACUACGAAAACAACAUGUGGCCCUGGAGCAGAGGUUCACAUCCAUGGAGGACGCCAGAAGAAUCAAAAACCUAAAGAUCAGAAGGUUGGUGGAGGCAGUGCCGGACGCAGAAUUACCACAUUUUGUUAGACGCCUACUGGGCAUGAUAUUGCCCCCCAAAGAGGCAAAAAUUAUGACAAUCGAAAUCAUGUUCAGGAUUACUAAAACCUAUAAAAGCUCCUGUCGUGGCUCCCAGGGAUCUGAUCAUAUGCUUCCAGACUAGACAAGACAAAGCCGCGGUGAUGAACUCCCUACGGGGACAAGCACCCUACCAGUUUGAAAACUCCUCACUCACCUUCUUUGCAGAUCUAUCUGGGAACACCCUGGCGUGGCGAAAAUCCCUCCAGCCUCUCACAACGCUGCUCCGCUCACACAGCAUCGCCUACCGGUGGCAGGCAACCCAUACCCUGAUGAUCUUCCACGAGGAAUCCUCAUACCCGAUCCACAAUCUAGAAGAAGCGGCAACAAUCCUGGGGAACAUGGCCACCAAACUCACACGCCAAUGCCACGAAUAAACCGGCGAACGCAUUCCCCAACUGGGACCCAGGAGAACGCAACCACCUGCAUACCCAGAAGGCCCCCAGCAACCACAUACGCCACGGUCACAACAUGAGGGCACAGCAAAGAGAAGAGACCGCAAUUCACCCUUUGCGACGGACUGAUCACACCCCAAUAGUGGCCAAUACGCGGUCAGGACAGUCCGAGAGAAGCCACAUGAAUCAGACCGAGCUAUGCUCAACACCAUUAGCACCAUACCAUCUGGCUAAGACUUCUGUUUAUAUGUUCCUAUUUCUGCUUAUAUUUUACCACUUCUGUCUUUACGGAUCACUGGGGCACUCAAUGACGUGACAAAGGCCACCGGAGAGCGGUGACUAGAGACAGGUAGAACGGACACAAGCCAACACUCCGACAAGUUCCCCAGAUGGGCCAACCCCACCAGCGGGAGAGCACAUAUCAGAAUAUGUGCUCCCUACCCCAGAGCAGGCAGCACCAGCAUACCCCGACUGGCAUCCUCGCAUUGUCCUACCCCAACCCCACACCCCACGCCUCAAGGAGCUCUAAGGGCAAUGACAUACCUCCCAACGACCUUAUAACACACCCUUGGGCCAACACUAGGGUCAUCAGGCCGACUGCCAGAAAUGGCCACAACAACAGAGCCCCGAUCUACAUCUACUGCCACACACCAAAAGCCCCCAAGCCCCUUAGGAGACUUACCAGCCCGAUGUGAGUCAAAGGGCGGACACACGACAUGAGCUAACAUGGGGGGACAUAACACACCCCGCGGCAAACAACUCCACUCACGACUUCCCCACCGGGGGAACCACACGAAAUUGCCAUGCCCCGUACGCGGACUAAUAGACGUAAAGGGGCAAACACAAUACUCACCCGCAUAACCGUAGAAGGGACUUAUUCACCCCAGCUACACAGGGCCAAAAGGGGGUCACUCAACUACAGAAUCGACUGGACUAACAGUUGACCCAGCUACACUUAGACAAAUACAGACAACUGACAACCCAAAUAAAGACUGACAGACAACCUAAAUAUACUCACAUUCGAAAAGACGAAUAUGGAUCUAUAUAACUAACACAAUGCUACUGCUUAUAAUGCUUUAAAAACAAAAAAGUGCACUGUUAUGCAUACCUGACUAUUGUUACAAUAUAUUACAUGUUGAAUGAAACACAAACAAAUGCUGCUGGGGCAAUGCUAGCGACUAUGUAAAUUAAAUAUUUGCACCAAAAAAAUUAAGAAGAAGAAUAAAAAAAUAAACAUCACAUUCAGGUUAAUCCAGCCAUUCUGUUGAUGAAUUCCUCAAAAUAGGCAAAGACUAUAUCUAUUUUAAAUAAUGAACUAUAUAGGUUGAACAUUUUUAUGUAAUUAGAGCUUGAACAAACAAGCAGGCUACAAUUUUCUCAUAUAAUUUACAUUAAAUACUAUAUUUUGCUGUUUUUUUAAUAGAUAGAAGGAGAUCGCUAGGAGCUGUUAAACAUGAAAAAAUCUCGAGUGCUCUGUCUACAAAACCAGAAAAGAAAUGUCUCAGUCUGGCCAUGAGCUUGAAGCCUUUCCUUGCUGGUAAUUGCACAAUUUGAUGACAUACAUAUAUGUUAUAAAUUUAACCUGAAUAUAUUUGCCAGUGGGCAAUUUAAAGAUGUUAAAUGUAUCUUUUAAAUAUAAGGUUUUGGAACCUAAUGGAGAAGAAUAUACCCUAUACCAUGGGUCCUCAAACUCCGGCCCCCCAGAUGUUGCUUAACGACAACUCCCAUGAUUCUUUGAAUUACAUAGAUAGCCAGAGAAUCAUGGGAGUUGUAGUUCAGCAACAUCUGGGGAGCCGGAGUUUGAGGACCCAUGCCUUAUACUAUAAGAUGCAUAAUAUUGAUUAAGUAUUAAUGCAUAAUAAUGUAUGUACUAAUAAUAAUACAAUGUUGAUGUCUUGUACAUUUUAUGUAACAUAAACUGAUACUUUAGUACCUUGGGCAUAAUUCUAGUUUACUGUCUAUUUAAACAUUUUUUAUUAAACUGAAACUCUGUCACGGGAGUCAUAUCCCAACACGCAGGAAAGAGGAAAAACGCAAAAGGUGGAUUCGAAAGACGUAUUACCGAGCCUUAGAAUGGCCAAAGUUAACGUGUCAAUACAACCAUACAACAAGAAACAGGGUCAAGAUAAAUCAAGGUCAGGAUUACAGCAAUACUCUGAGUCAAAUACAAAGCCUGGGUCAGGAUAAUAGAAAUCACAAGUCAAAUACAAAGCCGGGGUCAGGAUACCAGAAAUCACAAGUUAAAUACGAAGCCAGGGUCAGGUUACCAGAAAUCACAAGUCAAAUACAAAGCUGUGGUCAGGAUACCAGAAAUGAAGAGUCAAACGAGGUUCUAAACAGAAACCACAAUAGGGCAAAGAAUGGUGGUUAAAACAAGCCUUAAACAGGCUCAAAAGAGUUCCCAUUGGAUAGCUGCAACCUCAUACUCCUCAACCGAUACAGGAGUGCAAGGUCCAGUAAACCGAUUACAGAUCAUAGGUUACAACAGGGAGGUAUGGAAGGCAUCAGGCAAAUGCAUGGAAUGAGGUAAUUCUAGGGCGAUACAGGAUUCAUUUUGCACAAGAUGCAGAAAGGACCAAUGAAACUAGGACCGAACUUCAUGCAGGGCACACAGAGACAGACUUUUUGGGUAGAAAGUCAAACCCUAUCCUCGACCACAUAGGAAGGAGCCACACGGUGAUGCCUAUCCGCCUGUGCUUUCUGUCUCUUUAGGCAGUAAUUGUUGAUAAUCAAGAAAAAAAAAAUAAUAUAUAAUAAAAUAUAAUAAAAAUAAAAUAUAAUAAUAAAAUAAUAUAAUUGUUGAACCUGCUCCCACAUAAACCAGCCAUAUGCACAUCCAGAGCGGGCAUUCCCUGUGAGGAGAAUGCAGUUGGGAGAACAGGAUGCCGGCUAUAGACUACGUAAAAAAGUCUUGACCCAGAGGAUUCGUGAGCAGCGUUAUUGCGAGCAACCUCAGCCCAAGCAAGCAGGUCAACCCAAUUAUCUUGGUGAAGAGAAACAUAACGUAGAUAAUGCUCAAGAGAUUAAUAGGCACGUUCGGCAGAUCAAUUAGUCUGAGGAUGGUAGGCGGAGGAAAAGGACAACUCAAUACCCAUCUUCGAGCAGAAGGCCCUCCAGAAGGGAGAAACAAAUUGACUACGUGUGUCUGUUAUAAUUUGUUCUGGUAUGCCAUGUAGAUGGAAUACCUCCCUGGAGAAAACCCUAGCUAAUUCAGCAGAGAAGGGGAGUUUCCUCAGGGGUAUGAAAUGUGCCAUCUUAGAAAACCUAUCUACGACCAUAAGUAUGACAGUAUAUCCAUAAGCAGGGGGUAGUUCUACUAUAAAAUCGAUAGAUAAGUUGGACCAGGGUUUAGUGGGUAUGGGUAAAGGUUGGAUCAAUCCACAUGGUACCCUGUGAAUGGUCUUGUUAGUUGCACAUUUGUCACAAGAAAGCACAAAGUCUUUAAUAUCCCUCUUUAGAGAAGACCACCAGAAGUCUCAAGCUACAAGGUUAGUGGUCUUGGUUAUUCCAGGGUGCUCGGCAGGUUUGCUAUCAUGACAUAAAGACUAGGGAUGUGCAUGGGCAAACAUUUGGUUCGGCACUUCCAAAAUUCGCGACUUAGGCAAUUCCCUAACCCUACCCACCACACCCACUUACACAUCUAGGGUUAGGGAUAGGUGAAGGGUUAGAUUCCUGCCAUCAUUCCCGUAAUUUUCCCUACCUGUCUUGUUUUGUUACUUUUCAGAAAUCCGAAGCACUUCGGCAGUUCCAAAAUUCGGCACUUUGGCAAUUUGGUUCGGUUCGGCACUUCAGAAAUUCGGCAACUCGGCAGAAUUUACAUUCGGAACGAAACAAAUUGCACAUGUCUAAAAAAGACAUAACUACAUGUCUGACAAUAGGGGUAACAAACAAUUCAUCAUUAGGCUUGCAUUCAGGGGAAUCAGAUUUGGUAGAUAUAACGCGACUUAACAGCGAAGAGGAUACAGAAAGAACUGUUGUAGCUACGAUUCUUUCCGGGGGAAUGAUGUAACAUUCCUCUGGUCUGUCCUCGUCACUCACAUCGACCUGCCUGGACAAAGCAUUGGCUUUGGCAUUGCGUGGUCCAGAUCUAUAAAUAAUAAAAAAAUGUAAUCUGGACAGGUAGAGAGACCAUCUUGCCUGCCUGGAAUUCAACCGUUUAGCCUUUCUGAGGUACAGAAGGUUCUUAUGAUCCGUUAGCAGUAUGAUGUGAUCUUUCGAACCUCCUAGGACAGUGGUUCCCAACCCAGUUCUCAAGUACCCCCUAACAGUCCAGGAUUUAGGGAUUACCCAAUGUGUCAAAGGUGUUUUUAGAAAAAAACAAAACAAAGACACUUUAGACACAAUAGGGGUAAUCCCUAAAUCCUGGACUGCUAGAGGGUACUUGAGGACUGGAUUAGGAACCCCUGUUCUAGGAGGUGUCACCACUCCUACAAGGCUACGAUAAUGGCCAUUAGUUCUCUAUUGCCAAUUGUCAGGAUACCAGAAAUCACGAGUCAAAUACGAAGCUGAGGUCAAAUACAGGAAGUCACAAUGAAAUCACUAGGAGCACUAAAUGAGGAUCAAAACAGAAACCACAAUAGGGCAGAGAAUGGAGGCUAAAGCAAGCCUUAAAUAGGUUCAAAAAAGUUCCCAUUGGUCCACGUCAUCUCUGCGAGCCCAAACAACAUUGGGUCACCUAGAUGACAUUGUCCCUUUAAGGUAAUGUCACUUUACAUUUUAUUUUUAGAGGUUGCAGUUCAUCCCUCAAACUAGCAGAGGAAGCCAUUCGCGGGACCGAAGGUAAGCAUUCUAUUCAUGUAGCCAUGUGGAGAAUUUGAGCAGCGUGGACUGAGGCAAUGCGGCCACGCCGUGCGUUCUGCCUGAGGAGAGGAGCGGCGCGGGCGCCAGUUAAAGGUAAGUUUGUGACAAACUCCCUUUUAGGGGGACACAAAUGUAUUUAUUUAUAAAAUAUUUUACCAGGGAGGAUACAUUGAGCUUUCUCUAAUUUUCAAGCAUGUCCGGGGUCCACAAAAUGUUGCAUCGUUACAAUAGGGUACAAUAAAAUGCAAAACCAAUAUUAACACACAACAUAUAUACAGAAUUUAACAUAGAACAGGUAAUAAAUAUACAGUCAACCAUGACGUGCAUUCUGUGCAAAUGCCAUUUAUAAAUAUUAAUUUCUAACAGAAGAAAAUGAGAUUUAUAAUCAGUAAUUUAGGAUGUGGCAGUAAAUCCCGUGGUCCUGUGAAGGACCACAAAAAGCACCAUCAAUAAAAUAUGGUACAACAAUAGUGUUCCAGGACGAAUGUAGAGGAGGCCCCAGUCCUACUUAAUAUGAUGAAACGGAUCCUGCAGAUAUCUAUUGUGACAUUGUCCAUUAACACAUUAACUGAUCCAUUUUAAUAUUUGAUUAUGUUUGAGGUUAUUAGCUAAACCAUGUUUUGAGUAGGUGUAAGUGUGGAAUUUAUACUAUUCUCUUUGAAGUAGAGAGAACAGCUGAAUCAACUUAAGGACCAAAUAUGUAAAAAAAUGUCUUUUUUUUAUCAACACACUAGUUGCAUGAUUACAUUUACUAAAUUGUAACAUCAUACAUUGACUGAAAGUUGCAAAGAAAGUUUUUCUUUGUUUUUUCCCAUAUAGGAGAACUAUGCAUGACAGAACGAUUGCAUGAUACAUCGGAUAAAGUGUUAGAUGGCUAUAUAACUCUCGUAACAGAUGCACCAUUGCUGUCAGAGGAGCAGAAACGAGAAUUGAAUCCAUUGGUCAUUCGCAUCCUUUCUGCCACAUCCCUUCCUACAAAACCUACCCCAAUUCACAUCUUACAGG